rnacentral:rRNA from 2 species
UUGCUCUGACCUCGGAUCAGGU